GCGGGGACUCAUCGAAGACUGCCGGGGUCAACUCGGAGGAAGGUGGGGAUGACGUCAAGUCAUCAUGCCCCUUAUGUCCAGGGCUUCACGCAUGCUACAAUGGCCGGUACAAUGGGCUGCGAUACCGCGAGGUGGAGCGAAUCCCAAAAAGCCGGUCUCAGUUCGGAUCGGGGUCUGCAACUCGACCCCGUGAAGUCGGAGUCGCUAGUAAUCGCAGAUCAGCAACGCUGCGGUGAAUACGUUCCCGGGCCUUGUACACACCGCCCGUCACGUCACGAAAGUCGGCAACACCCGAAGCCGGUGGCCCAACCCCUUGUGGGAGGGAGCCGUCGAAGGUGGGGCUGGCGAUUGGGACGAAGUCGUAACAAGGUAGCCGUACCGGAAGGUGCGGCUGGAUCACCUCCUUU
rnacentral:rRNA from 1 species